rnacentral:rRNA from 1 species
UACGGAGGAUGCGAGCGUUAUCCGGAUUAUUGGGUUUAAAGGGUGCGUAGGCGGCUUUUUAAGUCAGCGGUGAAAUUUUGCAGCUUAACUGUAACAGUGCCGUUGAUACUGGGGAGCUAGGAUUUGGUUGCUGUGGGUGGAAUGUGUGGUGUAGCGGUGAAAUGCUUAGAGAUCACACAGAACACCGAUUGCGAAGGCAGCUCACAAAGCCACAUCUGACGCUGAGGCACGAAAGCGUGGGGAGCAAACAGGAUUA